AGUCUUUUGGGUUUUAUAUAAGAUGGGGCCUGCUCAAUGAUAUAUUAUUAAAUGGCUGCAGUAUUUUGACUGUACAAAGGUAGCAUAAUUAUUUGUCUUUUAAUUGGGGACUGGUAUGAAUGGUUGGAUGAAAUAUAAACUUUUUUAUUUUUUUUUAUGAAUUUGAUUUUUUAGUCAGAAAGCUAAAAUUUGUUUAAGGGACGAGAAGACCCUAUAGAACUUUAUUAAUAUAUAUUUAAAUAGGGUAUAUUUGAUAAUUUUUAUUUAAAUAUAUAUUAAUUUUGUUGGGGUGAUUGAAAAAAAUUAUUAACUUUUUCUUAUUAUAUUCAUUUAUAUAUGAUUUUUUGAUCCAAAUGAGUUUGAUUAUAAGAUUAAGUUACCUUAGGGAUAACAGCGUUAUUUUUUUUAAGAGUUCUUAUCGAAAAAAGAGUUUGCGACCUCNAUGUUGGAUUAAAAUUGGUUAUGGGUGGAGAGAUUUAUUAACUGAGUCUGUUCGACUUUUAAAUUUUU
rnacentral:rRNA from 1 species